UCUCCGUUGGUGAACCAGCGGAGGGAUCAUUACCGAGUUUACAACUCCCAAACCCCAUGUGAACCUUACCAAACGUUGCUUCGGCGGGAUGCCCCGGGCGCGGGCCGCAAGGCCUCAGCCCCGGAACCAGGCGCCCGCCGGAGGCCCAAACCAAACUCUUGUUUUUGUAGAAUCUUCUGAGCGGCCUUUUAGGCAAAAAAUGAAUCAAAACUUUCAACAACGGAUCUCUUGGUUCUGGCAUCGAUGAAGAACGCAGU
rnacentral:misc_RNA from 1 species